ACAGAUAGGAAUUGGACUAUGUAGAAUAGAUAUUAGUUUAUUUUUGUAGGAUAUUGAUAAAAUAGACUAAAAAUCCAUAGAAUAGUUAGUUCAAGAGGACGGAUGAUUGAUUUAGUUAUUAAAAGCCAUUAAUUAUGGAUACAUAGUUAGAAUCAAGAAAUCAAGAGUAAUUUUAUAGAAAUUAUAAAAGUUUGUUGGGAUGCUAGACUGUGAUAGUGAUGAGCAGGGAUAAGCUUGGUACUACCUCUUUGUUUCUUUGUUUUCUUUGUUGUUGAAGAAUAAUGGAUAGUUUCUGAAAAUUGAGAAGUGAGUUUGUAGAAUAAAUCAGAGAUUGAUUUAUGAGUUAUUUAUUAUGUAAUUGGAGUACUAAGUGAUUGAAUUAUAUAAGGAGUAAUUGAAAGAUUAUGAUUGUUGUUUAUUGAAAGUUGUGUGUGUUUUGACAGAGAAAGUCUAUCAUUAUAGAUAUUAAGUGAAUUCAGAUUUGUUGGAAUAAAGUCCG
rnacentral:lncRNA from 1 species